UUUGACCUCAAAUCAGGUAGGACUACCCGCUGAACUUAAGCAUAUCAAUAAGCGGAGGAAAAGAAACUAACAAGGAUUCCCCUAGUAACUGCGAGUGAAGCGGGAAAAGCUCAAAUUUGAAAUCUGGCAGUCUUUUUUUUCUUCUU
rnacentral:rRNA from 2 species